rnacentral:rRNA from 1 species
CCUACGGGAGGCUGCAGUAGGGAAUAUUGCUCAAUGGGGGAAACCCUGAAGCAGCAACGCCGCGUGGAGGAUGAAGGUUUUCGGAUUGUGAACUCCUUUUGUUAGAGAAGAUAAUGACGGUAUCUAACGAAUAAGCACCGGCUAACUCCGUGCCAGCAGCCGCGGUAAUACGGAGGGUGCAAGCGUUACUCGGAAUCACUGGGCGUAAAGAGGCCGUAGGCGGGUUAGCAAGUCAGAUGUGAAGUCCUAUGGCUUAACCAUAGAACUGCAUUUGAAACUGUUAUUCUAGAGUAUGGGAGAGGUAGGUGGAAUUCUUGGUGUAGGGGUAAAAUCCGUAGAGAUCAAGAGGAAUACUCAUUGCGAAGGCGACCUGCUAGAACAUAACUGACGCUGAUGCGCGAAAGCGUGGGGAGCAAACAGGAUUAGAUACCCGUGUAGUC